rnacentral:rRNA from 1 species
AGUGAACGCUGGCGGUAGGCCUAACACAUGCAAGUCGAACGGCAGCACAGUAAGAGCUUGCUCUUACGGGUGGCGAGUGGCGGACGGGUGAGGAAUACAUCGGAAUCUACUUUUUCGUGGGGGAUAACGUAGGGAAACUUACGCUAAUACCGCAUACGACCUACGGGUGAAAGCAGGGGAUCUUCGGACCUUGCGCGAUUGAAUGAGCCGAUGUCGGAUUAGCUAGUUGGCGGGGUAAAGGCCCACCAAGGCGACGAUCCGUAGCUGGUCUGAGAGGAUGAAUAGCCACACUCGAACUGAGACACGGUCCAGACUCCUACGGGAGGCAGCAGUGGGGAAUAUUGGACAAUGGGCGCAAGCCUGAUCCAGCCAUACCGCGUGGGUGAAGAAGGCCUUCGGGUUCUAAAGCCCUUUUGUUGGGAAAGAAAAGCAGCAGGUUAAUACCCCGCUGUUCUGACGGUACCCAAAGAAUAAGCACCGGCUAACUUCGUG